GACGAACGCUGGCGGCGUGCUUAACACAUGCAAGUCGUACGGUAAGGCCCUUUCGGGGGUACCCGAGUGGCGAACGGGUGAGUAACACGUGCGUAACCUGCCCACAACUUUGGGAUAACGCUAGGAAACUGGUGCUAAUACUGGAUAUGUGCUCCUGCUGCAUGGUGGGGGUUGGAAAGCUCCGGCGGUUGUGGAUGGACUCGCGGCCUAUCAGCUUGUUGGUGGGGUAGUGGCCUACCAAGGCGGCGACGGGUAGCCGGCCUGAGAGGGUGACCGGCCACAUUGGGACUGAGAUACGGCCCAGACUCCGACGGGAGGCAGCAGUGGGGAAGAUUGCACAAUGGGCGCAAGCCUGAUGCAGCAACGCCGCGGGCGGGAUGACGGCCUUCGGGUUGUAAACCGCUUUCAGCAGGGACGAAGCUUUUUGUGACGGUACCUGCAGAAGAAGCACCGGCUAACUACGUG
rnacentral:rRNA from 1 species